rnacentral:rRNA from 1 species
UACAGAGGCCCCAAGCGUUAUCCGGAAUCACUGGGCGUAAAGGGUGUGUAGGUGGUUGCGUUAGUCGUCUUUCAAAUCUCCCGGCCUAACCGGGAAAAGGGAGGCGAAACGGCGCAACUCGAGGAUGCGAGAGGUAUGUGGAACUCAUGGAGUAGGGGUGAAAUCCGUUGAUCUCAUGGGGAACACCAAAAGCGAAGGCAGCAUACUGGCGCAUUCCUGACACUGAAACACGAAAGCGUAGGUAGCGAAUGGG